UACGUAGGGUGCAAGCGUUAAUCGGAAUUACUGGGCGUAAAGCGUGCGCAGGCGGUUUUGUAAAACUGGCGUGAAAUCCCCGGGCUUAACCUGGGAAUGGCGAUGGUGACUGCAAGGCUAGAGUUUGGCAGAGGGGGGUAGAAUUCCACGUGUAGCAGUGAAAUGCGUAGAUAUGUGGAGGAACACCGAUGGCGAAGGCAGCCCCCUGGGUCAAAACUGACGCUCAUGCACGAAAGCGUGGGGAGCAAACCGG
rnacentral:rRNA from 1 species